rnacentral:rRNA from 1 species
GGCGGUUUGUCGCGUCUGCUGUGAAAUCCCGAGGCUCAACCUCGGGUCUGCAGUGGGUACGGGCAGACUAGAGUGCGGUAGGGGAGAUUGGAAUUCCUGGUGUAGCGGUGGAAUGCGCAGAUAUCAGGAGGAACACCGAUGGCGAAGGCAGAUCUCUGGGCCGCUACUGACGCUGAGGAGCGAAAGGGUGGGGAGCAAACAGGCUUAGAUACCCUGGUAGUCCACCCCGUAAACGUUGGGCGCUAGAUGUGGGGACCAUUCCACGGUUUCCGUGUCGUAGCUAACGCAUUAAGCGCCCCGCCUGGGGAGUACGGCCGCAAGGCUAAAACUCAAAGGAAUUGACGGGGGCCCGCACAAGCGGCGGAGCAUGCGGAUUAAUUCGAUGCAACGCGAAGAACCUUACCAAGGCUUGACAUAUACGAGAACGGGCCAGAAAUGGUCAACUCUUUGGACACUCGUAAACAGGUGGUGCAUGGUUGUCGUCAGCUCGUGUCGUGAGAUGUUGGGUUAAGUCCCGCAACGAGCGCAACCCUCGUUCUAUGUUGCCAGCACGUAAUGGUGGGAACUCAUGGGAUACUGCCGGGGUCAACUCGGAGGAAGGUGGGGACGACGUCAAAUCAUCAUGCCCCUUAUGUCUUGGGCUUCACGCAUGCUACAAUGGCCAGUACAAAGGGCUGCAAUACCGUAAGGUGGAGCGAAUCCCAAAAAGCUGGUCCCAGUUCGGAUUGAGGUCUGCAACUCGACCUCAUGAAGUCGGAGUCGCUAGUAAUCGCAGAUCAGCAACGCUGCGGUGAAUACGUUCCCGGGCCUUGUACACACCGCCCGUCAAGUCAUGAAAGUCGGUAACACCCGAAGCCAGUGGCCUAACCGCA